AAGACCUUACUUCAUAGGAUCAUUUCUAUAGUAAGCGCUUCACGAGACUCACACAAUAUGUGAGACCUUAUCAGCCAUGUUGAUGAGAUGUGGCGCGGUGUCCUGAGCGUGAGACGGACGAUGAUCGCCAUCGGUGGGGCGUCAUCAGUCUUCGAUGAUCGUUCACUCGACCCCUUCGGGGGUUGGGCGUGGGAUGCUGUCGCUAUCUGAGUGGC